UUCAUAAUACCUGCCAGAAUGGUGUCAGAUUUUGAUAAAGUACAGCAGUAGAUUUCUAAAUAAGUAGGAAAGGAUUACAGCUCUUAACUUCAGCAAUAAAACUUUUAAUAAAUCCAUCAACUCCAUUUACCCAUUUUAUAUUUCCUCCAGUGGGUCCUGCCUUUACUGACAAGUGGGGUUUGCAAUCGGACAGCAUGUCAUUGAUGCCUAAUACUUGAGUGAUUUCUUUUUUUUCUUUUUCUUUUUCUUUUUUUUUACUUGAGUGAUUUCAAUCAAAUCAACAAAGCAUUGGCUCAUGUAAAUGCUGAUGAAUACACUUUAUCAAGCUGAUCCAGCUUCUGGUAUCAAGAAGUCAGCCUCUGGCACCCACUCCCUUCACUCAAUCACAUGAGAGUGAGGGCUUGUGGUCAGAUCUUAACAGACACAAGUAUAUUAUCUCAAUUGUUGAUAGUCUGUGUUCCAGUGUCUCUUUCCCAAAUAAACAGACAGUUGUAGCCUUCACUCCCCAAAUUCUGGCAUCCCAGAAAUGAAGAAAGCCAUAUUGUGAUGACACAUUUCAAACCAACUCCUACAGGCUGUGAGCCAGCUCUGAAACAGCUGCCUCCAUAAGUCAUGCACACUAAUCAUCAUGUCAAGGACCCUGGGGAAGCCCUGCUGAAAUCGUAAGAACGUGUGUUGAGAACAGAAAUAGCUCACUUUAACUGUGGUGGAGAAAGAAGAAUCUCCUGGUCGAAGGGAUUUCAGAGGAAACUUUCCGGAGGAGAAAAUUCCUGUCUGCACUGAGCACUGAAGGAUGAAUUGAAGCCAUUUAGAGGAUAACUUUGGGAAGGAGUGGAAAGAAGGAAAUGCAGUCAGAGGAAACAGCAUGAACAAAAUAGCAUAGCAUAAAAAACAUGAUGUAGUUGGAGGAACUACAAGCAAUUCCUGUAGAGGAAAGUGAGGUAGGGACUGGAAGUUGGGGCUGUAGAGGUAGAAAGAGAAGGCCUUUUGUGUGAUGCUAAGUACUCUGGAGGCAGUAGUAUUCUGGAAACGGCUUGCCUGUGCACAAGCUCAUUGUGCAAAUCCCCCCAAAUUGGAGUUCAUUGGCCAAAGCGAGUGCUCCUUGAAUGUGAAAUCUGUGUCUUUGCACAAGAACUCAUGUUUGGUUUAAUGCUUUCUUGUCGCUUGACAGUCUAAAUAAUUUUUUGACAAUCAACCUUACAUAUUCAUUUUGUGGCAGGCCCAUAAAUUAUGUAGCUGGUCCUGCGUGGCAGAGUUUACACUGAAGAAAUCGGCAGAUGCUACAUAUCAGGGCUUUGUCCUGUAAGAGAACCGGUUACCAAACAAAGCUCACCACACCAUUGUCUGGAGGCAAACCAAAAAGUAUAGUUUCCAAGGUAUGACUAGGUGGGAAGCAGGAUGUUAAGGGGCUUAAUGUCUAAUGAGCUCCUGGUUUAGGAGAUGAUAUGCACGUAAUGUAAGUUGUGUAUGUCUUUAUUGCAUCAAAGCAGUAGGUAGUGCCUGCCCAUUCUGCCUUAGUUACUUUGCUAAGUACUAGGAAUGAAAACCAAAUAGAACUCAGUCUUGGGGAAAGAAGGUCAGGGAAGACUAGCCACUUAUGUGAAUCAUGAAGUAGAAUGAGAUUCUGGUGCAAAAGCAAGUGAGCAAGAGAAUUUGGGUCCUUUUAGAGACUGGCACUUAGUCCCAUGUGGCUGAAGUUGUCUGCUUCUAGAGAGAUAGAGUGGAGAUUGAAGAAGUGUCAGAUGGCUCUUAGAUCACUAAAAUCAUGGUCACAAUUUUGACUUAUAUGGCAAGUGGUAGGGAAUCCAUCAUAGGAUAUAAGCAGAGUAGUGAUGUGCCUAGAUGUUCAGUGUGGAAAAAUCCUCUUUGCCAGUGUAGGGCAUUGACUGGAGUCAGGACACUAGGCAAGAUGCAUUUAUAGCUGUCCAGGAUGGGGGUAAGGGGUGUCUGCUGUACCAAGGUGGUGGCAAUGGGAAGAAAGAGAAAAGAGGUGUUUGAAAUAUUUAGGUAAUAAUGGCAGUGUGAUGCCUCAGUGUGGGUAAUAAGGGAGGGGUGAGAAGCUAGAAUUACACCCAGGUUUCUGGCAUGAAUAUCUAUGUGGAAAAGAAAAAGAAAACAAUUUUAAAAAAUCAUGAAAGCAUCUCUUCGAUCCCCUAAACCACCGAUCUUAUUUUUCUUAGAGAGGGUUAUGUUAGUCCCAUACAGGCAAUCAAAAUAUAGCUGUAAAAAUGUAUAGUUCAAUGAAAACAUGCUCCAGAAAGAAAUCAUACAAGGAAACAGCGGUUCAAUACAAAUGCAUCUUGUUUUUAAGCCAACUUGGGAAAGGUAGAUAGAGUUCAGUUUCAUAACAAUAAAACACUGAUUCAUGAGCCCAGUGAGAUGGUAUUUUGCCUCUCAUUGGUGACCUGUCAUCUUAAUUUCAACCGAAUCCAGGCAAGGGGAGAUAUACAAAGAUGAUGAGAGGACAGAUAUAUCAUUGAGGUCAAAUCAGCCACAAGUGGAGUCUGGAGAAUUGUUAGCAGAGGGAGCUUGCUUCAAAUGUCUUGCUUCAAAUGCUGGACGGUAUAGUAUUGUGCAUUUAGAAUUUUGUGCUAAAGGGAAAAAUAAAGCCAAUGAUCAUAAUAGGGAAAAUGAAAUAUAGUCAACUUACUUCCCAAAACAUAUGUGAGAUGGAUUCAGUUUUAUUCUCAAAAUAAUUAUCUUAGACUCUGGGUCUUGGAAACACAAACACAAGGAGUUGAUCUCUGUUCUCAAGGAGCUUAUAAUCAUGAACAUAAAUAGGCAACUAUAAUAGAUGAGAGACUGAAUAUAAAAUGGACAAUGGCCAGACCUAUAAUAAAAGAAAAUUAAACUAUAAAAAUAAAAUUCUGACCUCAAAUCUGCAGCAACCAGCUCAGGAAAAACAAUCCACUAUCUACAGUAAGCAGCUCGGAAGACCAGACUACUAUCUAUAGGUUAGACUCGUAGGAAGUCAGACCACUAUUUCUGGCAACCAGCCCAGGAAGCCAUACAAUAACCUCUAUAAUGAUUGGCCCCAAGUGGCCAGGAUUUGAUUAAUAUCUUACAGUUCCCCCCCCCCCAAAAAAUCUUACAGUUCCCUAAUUCUCUUUUUGUCUCUGCUUCCACCUUGGCACCAACCACAGUAAGCCAAAUAUGUGCCCCAAACCAAUUGCUCAGGAUUCCCUGCUCCCUGUUGACCUAGCUCCAGCUUCUCCAGGCCAAUCAGGGCACCCCUGGAGCCUUCUCUUCUUCUAUUAUAAAGCACUUCCACUCUGCUGUCUCCUUGCAGUCUCUGAAAUACAAGUGGUGGUCCACUCCCUUGUCAUGGCAAGCUCUAAAUAAGUAGCCUUUGCCCACUCUUAGUUGGGUGGUCUUCAUUUAUGGACACAUAGAGAAGGCAGAAGGAAGUAAGUGCUAAAGAUACCUCAAAAACUGCACACUGUGUGGGAAUAAAGGAAAGACCCAUUCAUUCUAUCAGGGAAGGUUGGGAGUGCAAACUUGCAGCAACUAGCUGAAAAACACCUAUGGUACUCUCCUAAAUAAUUUCUUUUUAAAAUUUUUGUACACUAGUGGUAAAAUAACUUGUAGACUUUUGACAGAAGGAGAGAUGCUGUUUUACCUUCAAGGGGAAAGAACAGUUUGGGCAGAUAUAGCUUAGAUCUCCCCUCUUAGCUCACGAAUUGAAGAAAAACUUGAACCACCGAAACUGGAAGGGGCUCAUCCAGACUUCAGGCAUUCUCUGUCAAACAUGAGCAUAAACUGUUUUGAGUAUAAAGGCUGCAUAUUUCAUUAUUAUUGGCUAAGCAGCAUUUUGAGAUAUUUGUAUUUCAGUCCAGUUUUCUCCCUUCCUCUCACUUAUUUAAACAGAUAGUAGACCAUGAUGUUCCUUGUUCAGAGAAGGUUUGCAGCUGACUGAUUUGUUUCCAAGCCCAACCCAUUGAAGAGAUAAGACUGUGGGUCCCUGAUCAGGAAGCCCCAGUAAGACUCUUCUGCUUGGAGAUCUGCUUGGAGGAAUGAGAGGUGUGAUGGAGCUUUCCCCGCUCCAUCUGGGCCACUCUCCAUCACAGAUUAGAAAGAAUUUAGAUCAAAGGAGAGGGAAGUCUCAGGGUCUUGGAGGAAAGUGUCUUGGUUAUGGCUUCCCAGAAGUCCUUGGACCCAGCUAGGCUCCCACGUGUGGAUGGCAACAGCAGAGCCUCGGUAAGCCUCCCCGGCCAUGCAAGGAGAAAUGACAACCUGAUAACCCUUGUCCAGGGGACUCAUCACAGAACUGUGACAAACCUCCAUGCGAGCACCCCAGGGAACCAUCGGGAAACCCUGAAAGUGAUCAAGGUUCCAUUUUCUACCAGACUGGCAUUAUUGGAAUUGAAUCAGAAAUCAGACUGAUUGAUGUAAAUAAAGAGAUGGGGGCUUUUUGCACCUGAGUUUCUGGAUUGUGAAUUGUGGAUACUUAUAUGAAAUUAACACCAAGAAAAGGACCACAGAAUAAAUACUUAAAUUAUCUCA